AGCUGUCUGAGAGCCGUCUUCAGUGUAGGAGGAUAGUUGGUUACUUCAAAAGCAGUACCACUGCAAAGACAAGGCUGACACAGGUGCAGGAGCAAAUGAAGCCGACAGAGCCUGUGCUGAAGCUCAUUCAAGAGGUGGAGACACGCUGGAACAGCA